UACGUAGGGUGCAAGCGUUAAUCGGAAUUACUGGGCGUAAAGCGUGCGCAGGCGGUUAUGCAAGACAGAUGUGAAAUCCCCGGGCUCAACCUGGGAACUGCAUUUGUGACUGCAUAGCUAGAGUACGGUAGAGGGGGAUGGAAUUCCGCGUGUAGCAGUGAAAUGCGUAGAUAUGCGGAGGAACACCGAUGGUGAAGGCAAUCCCCCUGGACCUGUACUGACGCUCAUGCACGAAAGCGUGGGGAGCAAACAGG
rnacentral:rRNA from 1 species